GGCUUUUUAGCUCAGUUGGUAGAGCAAUCGGCUGUUAACCGAUUUGUCACAGGUUCGAGUCCUGUAAAAGCCGCCA
rnacentral:tRNA from 1 species